AACGAACGCUGGCGGCAUGCCUAACACAUGCAAGUCGAACGAGACCUUCGGGUCUAGUGGCGCACGGGUGCGUAACGCGUGGGAAUCUGCCCUUGGGUUCGGAAUAACAGCGAGAAAUUGCUGCUAAUACCGGAUGAUGACGUAAGUCCAAAGAUUUAUCGCCCAAGGAUGAGCCCGCGUAGGAUUAGCUAGUUGGUGAGGUAAAGGCUCACCAAGGCGACGAUCCUUAGCUGGUCUGAGAGGAUGAUCAGCCACACUGGGACUGAGACACGGCCCAGACUCCUACGGGAGGCAGCAGUGGGGAAUAUUGGACAAUGGGCGAAAGCCUGAUCCAGCAAUGCCGCGUGAGUGAUGAAGGCCCUAGGGAUGUAAAGCUCUUUUACCAGGGAUGAUAAUGACAGUACCUGGAGAAUAAGCUCCGGCUAACUCCGUGCCAGCAGCCGCGGUAAU
rnacentral:rRNA from 1 species